rnacentral:rRNA from 1 species
GACGAACGCUGGCGGCGUGCCUAAUACAUGCAAGUCGAACGCUGAAGAGAGGAGCUUGCUCUUCUUGGAUGAGUUGCGAACGGGUGAGUAACGCGUAGGUAACCUGCCUUGUAGCGGGGGAUAACUAUUGGAAACGAUAGCUAAUACCGCAUAACAAUGGAUGACACAUGUCAUUUAUUUGAAAGGGGCAAUUGCUCCACUACAAGAUGGACCUGCGUUGUAUUAGCUAGUAGGUGAGGUAAUGGCUCACCUAGGCGACGAUACAUAGCCGACCUGAGAGGGUGAUCGGCCACACUGGGACUGAGACACGGCCCAGACUCCUACGGGAGGCAGCAGUAGGGAAUCUUCGGCAAUGGGGGCAACCCUGACCGAGCAACGCCGCGGGAGUGAAGAAGGGUGUCGGAUCGUAAAGCUCUGUUGUAAGUCAAGAACGGGUGUGAGAGUGGAAAGUUCACACUGUGACGGUAGCUUACCAGAAAGGGACGGCUAACUACGUG